rnacentral:sRNA from 1 species
UGCGCCUGCGGCGGGUCCGGCAUAAGUAUUAAAUAAGCUUCGCAGGCAGUCAGCUUAUGUACGACCCGGUACAUCCCGGAAUUAUCCGGGCUUUAAUGUCUUCU